rnacentral:rRNA from 1 species
UGGGGAAUAUUCCGCAAUGGGGGAAACCCUGACGGAGCAACGCCGCGUGAAUGAAGAAGGUCUUCGGAUUGUAAAGUUCUGUCAUUAGGGACGAAGGACCCAUGCGAAUAGUGUGGGGGAUGACGGUACCUAAGGAGGAAGCUCCGGCUAACUACGUGCCAGCAGCCGCGGUAAUACGUAGGGAGCGAGCGUUGUCCGGAAUUACUGGGCGUAAAGGGCGCGUAGGCGGAUGUUUAAGUCAGAUGUGAAAUCUCUGGGCUCAACCUGGAACGUGCAUUUGAAACUGGAUAUCUUGAGGGCAGGAGAGGAAAGUGGAAUUCCUAGUGUAGCGGUGAAAUGCGUAGAUAUUAGGAGGAACACCAGUGGCGAAGGCGACUUUCUGGACUGUACCUGACGCUGAGGCGCGAAAGCAUGGGGAGCGAACAGG